rnacentral:rRNA from 1 species
AACCUCCGCAAUGUGAGAAAUCGCGACGGGGGGAUCCCAAGUGCCAUUCUUAACGGGAUGGCUUUUCAUUAGUGUAAAGAGCUUUUGGAAUAAGGGCUGGGCAAGACCGGUGCCAGCCGCCGCGGUAACACCGGCAGCUCUAGUGGUAGCAGUUUUUAUUGGGCCUAAAGCGUCCGUAGCCGGUUUAAUAAGUCUCUGGUGAAAUCCUGUAGCUUAACUGUGGGAAUUGCUGGAGAUACUGUUAGACUUGAGACCGGGAGAGGUUAGAGGUACUCCCAGGGUAGAGGUGAAAUUCUGUAAUCCUGGGAGGACCGCCUGUUGCGAAGGCGUCUAACUGGAACGGUUCUGACGGUGAGGGACGAAAGUUAGGGGCGCGAACCGGAUUAGAUACCCGGGUAGUCCUAACCGUAAACGAUGCGGACUUGGUGUUGGGGUGGUUUGAGGCUGCUCCAGUGCCGAAGGGAAGCUGUUAAGUCCGCCGCCUGGGAAGUACGGUCGCAAGACUGAAACUUAAAGGAAUU